rnacentral:rRNA from 1 species
CCGGCGACGUCGCGAGAAGUCCGCUGAACCUUAUCAUUUAGAGGACGGAUGAAGUCGUAACAAGGUUUCCGUAGGUGAACCUGCGGAAGGAUCAUUG